rnacentral:rRNA from 1 species
AGGACGAACGCUGGCGGCGUGCUUAACACAUGCAAGUCGAGCGGAAAGGCCCUUUUGGGGGUACUCGAGCGGCGAACGGGUGAGUAAUACGUGAGUAACCUGCCCUGGACUUUGGGAUAACCCUCGGAAACGGGGGCUAAUACCGGAUAUGACUUGGCCUCGCAUGGGGUUGGGUGGAAAGUUUUUCGGUCUGGGAUGGGCUCGCGGCCUAUCAGCUUGUUGGUGGGGUGAUGGCCUACCAAGGCGACGACGGGUAG